AGGGGCUGCUCGUGGUGAGAAGUAUCAAGCGGGCUGCUAGAUGGAGACGGGGGCUGCUCCUGGUGAGAAGUAUCAAGUGGGCUGCUAGAUGGAGACGGGGGCUGCUCCUGGGAUUGGUUUUUUAUGCUGUCCCACGAAGUCCUGAACCCCAUGUACUGCCUGUUUCAGUACGCCAACAAGAAUACAUGUAACUACUGUCUGCAGAUCAACCUGGCCUCGUCCGUCAACCCAGACCAUCUCCAGUAGGAAGAUUCAUCGCCAUGGUGAGAAGUCAUACAAUAUGUCUGCAGAUGGAACAUAACACUGAUUUUGUUUGGGGUCCUGGUUGCCCUCCACGAUCUUACCCUCUCUGGGGUGAUCUUGGAUGGGUCUUUGCAAACUAACUACUUGGUCCAGAAUGAAAUCAAUAUUAUUGCAGUCAUAAAAAGAAUAGACUAUUUCGAGCUGGACAUGGAGAUGACAUUCGUUGCAGACUUUGAGAUCCUAGGAAAGAUCGAGACGGUAGAUCUCAAGGAAGGCGGCAAAGAUAUUGACGUCACCGAGGCUAUUUUAUGACGAAAGGCUGCUGUGAAGAAACAAGUGGUGUGGCCAACAU